UACGAAGGGGGCUAGGCGUUGCUCGGAAUCACUGGGCGUAAAGGGUGCGUAGGCGGGUCUUUAAGUCAGGGGUGAAAUCCUGGAGCUCAACUCCAGAACCUGCCUUUGAUACUGAAGAUCUUGAGUUCGGGAGAGGUGAGUGGAACUGCGAGUGUAGAGGUGAAAUUCGUAGAUAUUCGCAAGAACACCAGUGGCGAAGGCGGCUCACUGGCCCGAUACUGACGCUGAGGCACGAAAGCGUGGG
rnacentral:rRNA from 1 species